ensembl:lncRNA
AUGAUUACAUGGGCUGAAAAAAGAACUUGAAAAUCAAAUAAGGUACUUAUGUAUUAUUCGGAUGAGGUUUGUUAUUUUAAAUAGUAACGUAUAAAUAAGUCUGAUGCAGGUGUGUGGACACUGUUAAUGAAAUAGAAAGGCAGUCCUGCACACUGUCACAGCCUGGAAAUCGUCACCAGACAUUGGAUAUUUUAAUAGCAUCAUACAAUAAACCAGUAUUUCAGGAUAAACUGAGAGAUCUGUGAUCAGUCAUGCACAUAAAGAUGUUUUUGUUUUAUCAGUUACUGACAUCUGUGUGUGUCGGUAGAGGGAUGGACUCUGGAAACAGUCUUGAACACAAAAAUGAAAAGGUACAAGUCAGAAGAUCACUUGCAGAGGUCUGACACACACUGAAUCUGUAGGAUGGCUCCUGCUGCUUUACUCAUCGGCUGUCUGCUUGCCACAAUCAGCUGCUUAACCACAGGUAACAUUCACAUCAGCUGCGCUGUUACAGUAUGUAUGUCAGAUUUAGAUACAGUUUUCAUUAGAGAAUUAGUUCCACUUAUUUGAAUCUCAUUGAAAGAUAUGUAAAUGCUUCAGAUUCUCUGUUUGUAAAUAUUUUUAUUUCAUUCCACAGGUCAAACUACCACAUCAAUUAAUGCUGUUCCUGCAUCACCUAAUGCAACUGACAUGUCGGACAAUGCAACUAAUGUAUUGCCUGACGCAACUAGUGCAACUACCAUUUUGCCCAACGGGGGUAACACAUCACCUAGCACCACCAUGGCACCCAACUCAACCAACACGGUGCCCAGUGUAACCAACACGCCGCCCAACAUGCCGCCAAAUGCAACCAACAUGGCAACCAACACAGACACCAUGGCGCCAACGCAACAACGCAACAAUGCAACCAACACACCACCAAAUGCAACCAACACACCACCAAAUGCAACCAACACGCCGCCCAACGCAACCAACACACCACCAAAUGCAACCAACACACCACCAAAUGCAACCAACACGCCACCAAAUGCAACCAACACGCCGCCCAACGCAACCAACACGGCGCCAAAUGCAACUAGCGCAUUACCUAAUGCGACUACAACAAAUGCAACAACUCCUCAGGCUUCAUUGUAUGGAAGUUGUGCGAGUCCUGAUCUGUGCUGCUCUGGACAGAACAACAGCUGUCACCGCCUGAAUUGUUUUUGUGAUGUUGCUUGUCUGAGAUUACGUGACUGCUGCCCUGAUUUCAAACCCACCUGUCUCACAGUAAAAAACACCACAAACCCAAACAACACUUUGCCACUAACAGGAACAUGUUCGCAUCCGACUCUGUGCUGCAAUGGCACAGACUACAACUGUUUCAGAGGAUGUUUCUGUGAUGAGUCCUGCAAAAUGCUCAACGACUGCUGUCCCGACUACAACAGCACCUGCAGUUUCAAUAGCACAACUACAGCUCCACCCUUCAACUCCACUACAACUCCCCAUCAUAUCUCCACUGCAGCUCCACCCAAAGCACUCACUGUUCAGGAGGUGAAGGUGAAGAUGUUUUUGCCUGAAGAAGAGCAUCACGCUGCACUGCUUCAAGUUGGCACUGUGCUGGAGAAGUUGUUAAAAGAGAAUAAUACUGACAUCUACUCUUUCAAAGUUACGAAAAUUAAACGGGUAUCUCCAUAG